rnacentral:rRNA from 1 species
UACGGAGGGGGCUAGCGUUGUUCGGAAUCACUGGGCGUAAAGCGCACGUAGGCGGCUUUCUAAGUCAGGGGUGAAAUCCUGGAGCUCAACUCCAGAACUGCCUUUGAUACUGGAGAGCUUGAGUCCGGAAGAGGUGAGUGGAACUCCGAGUGUAGAGGUGAAAUUCGUAGAUAUUCGGAAGAACACCAGUGGCGAAGGCGGCUCACUGGUCCGGUACUGACGCUGAGGUGCGAAGCGUGGGAGCGAACAGG